AAUGCGUCGGGCCUUGUAACAUUAGCUAGGGGAGCAUCGGGUAGGGUUCUUCCCAUGACUGUAAGGUAGUGAUGUUUCCUUUUCCUCCACAGCCCAGGCUUGCAUCCCUCCCUGCGGUCUCCAGGAGUUCGCCCGGCGUUUCCUCUGCAGCGGGUGCUACUCUAGGGUCUGCGACCUCCCGCUGGACUGCCCAGUUCAGGAUGUGACAGUGACUCGGGGCGACCAGGCUAUGUUUUCUUGCAUCGUAAACUUCCAGCUGCCAAAGGAGGAGAUCACCUAUUCCUGGAAGUUCGCAGGAGGAGGUCUCCGGACUCAGGACUUGUCCUAUUUCCGAGAUAUGCCGCGGGCCGAAGGAUACCUGGCGCGGAUCCGGCCGGCUCAGCUCACGCACCGCGGGACGUUCUCCUGCGUGAUCAAGCAAGACCAGCGCCCCCUGGCCCGGCUCUACUUCUUUCUUAACGUGACGGGACCGCCCCCGCGGGCGGAGACAGAGUUGCAGGCCUCGUUCCGGGAAGUGCUGCGCUGGGCGCCGCGGGAUGCCGAGCUGAUCGAGCCCUGGAGGCCCAGCCUGGGCGAGCUGCUGGCCAGGCCCGAGGCUCUGACGCCCAGCAACCUGUUCCUGAUUGCAGUCCUCGGGGCCCUCGCAUCAGCGAGUGCGACAGUGUUGGCGUGGAUGUUCUUUCGAUGGUACUGCAGUGGCAACUAACAAAGGUAUCUCUUUCCUCCUUCCCUAUCCUAUUUCCAUCCUGAAAAUAAAGAA
rnacentral:sRNA from 1 species